AGAAUCAACGCUGGCGGCGUGCCUAACACAUGCAAGUCGAACGAGAAAGUGGAGCAAUCCAUGAGUAAAGUGGCGCACGGGUGAGUAACACGUGACUAACCUACCUUUUAGUGGGGGAUAACCUAGGGAAACCUGGGCUAAUACCGCAUAACACUUACGAGUCAAAGCAGCAAUGCGCUGAAAGAGGGGGUCGCGGCCGAUUAGCUAGUUGGCGGGGUAAUGGCCCACCAAGGCAGUGAUCGGUAUCCGGCCUGAGAGGGCGCACGGACACACUGGAACUGAAACACGGUCCAGACUCCUACGGGAGGCAGCAGUGGGGAAUUUGCGCAAUGGGGGAAACCCUGACGCAGCAACGCCGCGUGGAGGAUGAAGUCCCUUGGGACGUAAACUCCUUUCGAUCGGGACGAUAAUGACGGUACCGGAAGAAGAAGCCCCGGACUAACUUCGCGCCAGCAGCCGC
rnacentral:rRNA from 1 species